GGAGCUGGAGCAUCCCUGCAAGGGAUGCUUGCAUGGCAUGGUUUGCCAGAGAGAUGUCUGGGACCACGGCACAUAAACACAGUGGGCACAUGGGGACCUGCUGGGCACAGACCUGUCCCUGCGGCUCAAACCGGAGCCCAGCCUCUCAGUAGCAAACUUAAAAAAAGAAAAAUCCACUUCAAAUCCAUAAAUACCAUGAAAUUCAAACCACCGCCUGACUGAAGCUGUAGCAAAGUGACAGUAAAGGUGACACCUCAGGGUCCUGUAAUUAUUCAGCUGGUGAUUUCCACGUCCAAUCUGCCUGCUUUGCAAGGCAAAGAGUAUUUUUCCAGCAUCUUGCUUCCUGCAUUUUAACCUGCCCAUGAAAAACUGAGAUCCUUUAUUCUCACUUAUACUUCUUCACCAGCCAGAUCCGCGCCAGAAGCCAGCGUAAGUGACAAUUGCAUUGCAGAUGCAGCAGGAGCCCAGCAUGGAGUUCGCUUGGCACACACCGGUCCUGCUUCUGCUCGCAGCGUCAGGAAUAAUGGCAGCAGCAAGGGGAAAGCUCAGGCCCAUACUUGUCUUUGUGCAACUCAAAGCAGCAGGUUUUUCCUCAAAAAAGAAGCAAUGAUACCUGGAAAGCAGUUGUAGAUGCAUGUCCAGGAGGACACAUGGUGUUUAAGGCCCCUUCCAACCUGAGCCAUUCAGUGAUUCAGUGCUGCAGGCCCGUCUUCAGCAGUUAAUCACCCAGAUUUUCUCCCGAAGAUCUUAAAAUUUAAAUCUUAAAUAGCAUGUGCUGCAGUGCUUUGCCAUGAUGGAGACUUCUCAUCUUAAUUAAAAAAUGAUAAUAAUAAUUUUUUUAUGAAGUAGGACAAAAAAAAGCCAGGGGAAGGUACCCAGCUCCAGUUUGCAGCAUGUCCCAGGAGUGCUGCGGAGCUCCGCUGGUGCUCAGGGCACUCGGAGGAAAACCCUCCUGGCUGCCAGGCACCAGAAAUACCAGGGAGGUCCCCUGGGCAGUAACGUAUGUGGUGUUCAAAAAAAAAUUAUUUUUACCAUUUUGUUUCCUUUUUUUCCCAGUUGUGUACAGCCUUCGUUACUCUUUAACGACAGAUGCCAGGCAAGGCCGAUGCGCGUCCCUCUCCAGGUGAGGUGGUGCAGAGCUGGCGGCUCUCGGCUGUCUCGGUGUCCUUAUGCCCUUAGUGCUGGUCCCCACCAGCCCGGGGCUGCUCCAGUUCCACUGCCAGAGUCCCAGGAGGGAGGAUGAAAAUAUCCACGGAUGCCCAGGGGACGAUGAGUUGCUGGCUCUUUGGCUGCCACUGAAUGAACCGGGAAACCUGCACUGCCGAGGAGAGCUGGUUUUGUUUCGCCUGGCCGUGCUGCCUUCGUGGAGCCCGAGCUUCGCACGUACACAACCUGUAAAAGCUUUCAACAGCCUCAUCUGGUGCAGUGCCACUGAGCUGCGCACGGAAAAGAACAGGCCUUGAGGCACAGCCUGUUGUCUGAGGGUAUUUUGGUCCCUCACCCCAUACCUCGUGUGCUGUAGAAAAGAAGGUAACAGGCAGUUUUCAUCAAAGCUCUUCCUUCAGAAGAGUUUUAAUAAAACCUGAC